rnacentral:rRNA from 1 species
GACGGAGGAUACAAGCGUUAUCCGGAAUUAUUGGGCGUAAAGCGUUCGCAGGUGGCUGUUCAAGUCUGCUGUCCAAGACCGGGGCUUAACCCCAGAAAGGCAGUGGAAACUGAACGGCUGGAGUGCAGUAGGGGUAGAGGGAAUUCCCAGUGUAGCGGUGAAAUGCGUAGAGAUUGGGAAGAACACCGGUGGCGAAAGCGCUCUGCUGGACUGCAACUGACACUGAGGGACGAAAGCUAGGGGAGCGAAAGGG